GAACGCUGGCGGCAUGCCUAAUACAUGCAAGUCGAACGGUAACGGACCGCUGGGAUUCCUUCGGGAUGACCUUGGUGCCGACGAGUGGCGGACGGGUGAGUAAUACUUAGGAAUCUGCCCAGUAGUGGGGGACAACAUUCGGAAACGGAUGCUAAUACCGCAUACGCACUACGGUGGAAAGUGGGGGACCUUCGGGCCUCACGCUAUUGGAUGAGCCUAAGUCGGAUUAGCUUGUUGGUGAGGUAAAGGCUCACCAAGGCGACGAUCCGUAGCUGGUCUGAGAGGACGAUCAGCCACACUGGGACUGAGACACGGCCCAGACUCCUACGGGAGGCAGCAGUGGGGAAUAUUGGACAAUGGGCGCAAGCCUGAUCCAGCAAUGCCGCGUGUGUGAAGAAGGCCUGCGGGUUGUAAAGCACUUUCAGUAGAGAAGAAAAGCCUAGGGUUAAUACCCCUGAGUCUUGACGUAACCUACAGAAGAAGCACCGGCUAACUCCGUG
rnacentral:rRNA from 1 species